UUGUGUCCUUGGAGAAACGGAGGGGUGAAAGGAGAUUUCCACGGGUUGCAGCUUUAUGGUUCCUACCUGCCAUUAACCUGACUUCCGCUAGCUGGGUCAGGAGACCUAGGGGUGCAGGGUGAGUCCGGCAGACUCAUGGAUGCACCUGGACAGGAACAGCAGGGAAGUGAUUCCACAGCAAGAAGAGCAGAUGAUUCCGGUCGGGCCAGGAGAGCAUGGAGAUGCCAGAAGUCAUCCACAUAUCAGGAUCUGGGAUCUGGAAGAGCCUUGGGUGUGAGAAUUUAGGCACUGUCUUCUCUUUGAAGCCAGCAGAAUUUCCUCAGGUCCCCUAGUCCUCGGUCUUGAAAGCCUGGGCCGCCAUUUACAGAGGCACAUUUCCUGAUUGACCGGGGUUUGGGUGUGAACGUCUUAUUUCCCAGCCUCCCUAUGACAAGGUAGUGGUAGAACAGCUUUCUGUUUAUUUUUAUUUAUUAUUCUGAGCCAGUGUCUUCCAGUGGUCCAGGGUGGCCUUAAACUUCCAAUCCUCAUACCUCCACAUCCCUAGUGUUAGGAUUAUAGGGGUGAGGCACCAUGCCCAGUUUCUGUGGUGCGGGGGAUCACACCCAUUACUCUGUGCGUGCUAGGAAGCAUAACAUCAACAUAGCGACAUAGGUGGCCCAGAAGCUAUGCUCUUACCUGGGCCUCCAACCCACCACUGCUGAAGGUCCAGGUUAGUGGGUGUGUUGUUCACUGAGGCAGGUGGGGCAGCAGAGGGUGCCCCAAAUCUCACUCUCCCCGGCUCUGAGGGUCUCUGCACACCUGGCAGAGAUAGGCUGGCACGGGGAGAGUGAAGGCUGUAGGUGCCAACCUUCAAGGUGGAGCCCCGACUCCUAGACUUAGGUUCUGGUAUCAUCUCCUUCCGUGAUGCAUGACCCCCAAAACAGCAGAUGUUCUGGGAUGCACUGUGGAGCCUGGCUCAGAGAUAGCAUCUGUCUCGCUUCCUGCUUGAGGUCCUCCCUGUGGAGGAGGCCAGCUUCCGUGGAGAGUUCGCGCAACCACCUCAGGGCCUAUGUGAUGAGGGAGGGACGCUCCUGCCAACUCCACGUGCGGAACCAUCACGACUGAGUUCCUCUGGCCCCAUGGAGCCCUCACGUGCUGUCAGACAGUUCAACAUCUUGACCACAAUUCCAGGAGGAUCCCUGAACCGGAACCACCCAACUGAACUGCUUCCAGAUUCCUGCCGCUUGGAUCUGUGGGAGAUGAUGAAUGCGGGGUUUCUGUUUGUUUGAGCGGCUACGCUGGAGGGUGAUUUAUCGCACGGAACCAACCUGGCGUCCUGCAGACAGCUUCAGAGACAUUUCCACAGUGACAGCCAGAAAGCUAUUGUUGGAUCCAAGGAGUAGAAGGCAGAGAUGUGACUGGGAAAUGGAGGCUUAAAAGUUCUCUUGAGGUCCCAGAGCUCUAAACGACAGCCAGGUUUCCAGCUUGCCCAAGCACUGAGAGACAUGCUCGAACAGAAUAAGAAUGGGCGGAGAAGGGAAGGCUUGUGUCUCAGCCAUGAACACCUUCCUUUCAUCUCUGCACAUCAGAGCCCGUGAGUCACUCCUGGGCCUCAGAAAUGAAUGAUUUCUGAUAAUCGUGCUAAUUGUCACCCUGCAUGACCUCCUAGCGUGAGCACUUCCCACCAUUUCCUGCAGAGUGGCUGCGGCAGGCUAAGAGGGGAAGUGGACCUGAGGUGGGGAGCACCCAUAAUUCCUAUGGGCGUGGUUCAUUUUCUUUUUCCCAGUCUCAGUUUAGAGGCGACUACUGGCUUCCGCUCCUGAGGACCACGAACAGCUAGGCCCAGAGGGCUAGAACCAGGUGGCAGCCUCCAAAACCCAGGCACUCAGAGCUCUGUAGAUAAGGACCCGGGAAAGAGAAGCCCCCGGCUGUUUGCUUUGCACAAGGCCUUCUGAAAACAAGAGGAAGCCUGCUGGACAGUACCGCCCACCUUUCUGCAGGCCAGGUCCCAGUCAGAGUUUCGGGAAAAGCUUGCUCUCCGUGCGCUGCUGAAGACUACUGAAGAAAAGAGAAGGAAGAAGAUAAGGGAAGAGAGGAGAAAGAAGGAGGAGGAGGAAGAGGAAUGAGAAUUUUCUGAUACUCGCCUGCUUUCCAGAGUAAAGACUCUGAGCAAGGGUGCCAUCUUGUGGCUAUAAAUCGGAAUCGCAGCCCGGUCCCCCAACAUGGUGUAUUGGCCUAUUUUCACUGAAAAGUGCAAGAAACAAGCUGUAGUUCUUGGUUCUACACGAGACAACCUUCGUUCCACGCUUGGCAUAUUCUUUCUCAUACCUUUUGGGCGAGUCCAUCACUAACUCAGUGAAAUGAUGGGGCUCGGUGUUUGAGUCAACCAUAACUGUAGAUUCUCCUUCACUCAUUCAAUGAACAUUUCCUAGACUUUAUCAAGCAUUUUCAAAAUGGGACCCAGCUGUGAGUGAAAAAUGCACGUUCUUGCUCUUGGCAUUUCAGCUAGGAGGCGGCUUUUCUUCCCAGAGCUGUUCUGGUCAGAACCUGGGCUCUGGCAGCCCAGCAAUGGAGGCUUGGCCACUCUGCCUCAGUAGGCCAAUUAUUGAGGUGAAGAACAGUGAGAAGUAGAGAAAGAUUUAUUCGGUGAGGGCACACUGGGAAGAGGGACAAAUAUGAGGUCCCUUAGCCCCCAGAUCUACUUGGGGUCCUGACAGUGAAGUUCAGGUUUAAAAAGAGGACCAGAGGUACGCGUUACUGAACAGUCCCUGGCGAGGUCAGUUCCACACACCACUGACCCAUCUCCUGCCAGGUGGCCUGGUGAGUCCUCAGGGGUGUGUGAAAUCUCACUCCAGGACACAAGGUCCUCUCUGCCUUCAUCCUUUUCUUUCUCCCAGCAUGACAAUCUUGUGGGAUCCCAAUUUCACGGGUUCCAUUAUUUCAACAGUCUGAUAGACAAGGGGGUGCACAAAUAUCUUCACCAGCAAGGGGCUGGAGGCGGAACUCAGCUUGUAGAGUGCUUGUGCGGUAUGCAGGAGGCCGCAGGUUCAAUCCACAGCCUUGCAGAUAGUACAAGGCGGGUGUGGUGGCGUGUGCCUGUAACUUUGGAGGUAGAGAGGCAGGCGGGUCAGAGGUUCGAGGUUUUCUUCAGAGAGUUUGAGGCCAGCGUGGGAUGCAGAAGACCCUAUCCCAAAAUAAGUAAACAAGUAAAUGAAACAGAACAUCUUUGCUCCUGCCAGGAUGGUUACUUCAGGCGUAGGCAAUACAAAAUGUCAUGGGCACAGUAGCGUGUGUGGCGCUGGGAAAUGAAGCAGGGCCAGCGCCUUGCGUUCAGAUGGGGUAAUGGGUCAACACAGGCUUUCCUAAGACGGUGGCGUUUGUGCUGAGGCCUGAAUAAAGUGAGGGAGCAGGCCAGGGGGACAGGUGAGGGAAGGUAGACCAGUUCUGGGCCAUGACUCCGCCGUGAAUUAACAGUUAUAGGAAGCAAGACACCCAGGUAGUCUAGGGGCUAGACAGACACACAGCCUUUCCUCUACCAUCAGUAUCCUAAGAUAUACCCCCCCUCUCACACUCCAAAUCCCUUAACAGUAUGUGGGAAGUCCUUCUGGAUUCAGGACCUUUGGCCUGUUAUCCUCUGAGGCUGACCUCGAACCUGACACCCUUCCCUGAGAGUUCUCUGCUCCAAUUGCUGACCUUCCUUCUGUGGUCAGUGCUGGUUCUAAGAGCUUGCCUUUGUUUACACUGAAGGCCGCAGAUCAUCAUUUGAAUAUCUCAUUAAGCCAGCCACGUUAAAAAAAAAUUUGCAACAAUUCUCUCAUAAUGUAAUCCCACGAAGAAAUCUGGUUAGUGGCCAGUUCUGGCAGACUGCGCCUCGCUCAUUCUGUUUGCUGUCAACAGACAGACUUUCCAGGUUGGCUCCCCAGGCAUCACCUGGCGCACCACACGGGGGCGGGCUGCCGGCAGGACCGGGCCUUGUUCCGGUCGGCCCAGCUUCUGCAGUCAGAAGUGUGUUGCUUACAGAGGCAAUUGUUCGGAGCCAGAUCGCUAUCUCUGUUGUUUGGCACAGGAGUCCCGGAGCGCGAGUCAAGCAUUUCCUGAGCGGCCUCUGGGUAGAUGAGGGGACUGGUCUCGGCAGAUUGCUUGACUCAGAAGGUCAGAGAAGUCUGCAACAAGGAAUCCUAGCGAUGCGGCCACGUCCACAAUGCCCGUUUCCGUCCCCAGCAGCCGAGAGCCUGCCUGGGCAGCCUGGUGUGCGGGCUGGACUUUUUCCAGACAGCACUCGGAGAGCCAAACUCAAAUGACCUCUGCCAAACUAAUACUAACAAUAAUGCUAAUAAUGAAAAGAGAUUAAGCAAAUUCAGAAAAUAUCGUGUGGCUGUGAGGUCACGGCUUCACCGUGGAUUUAACCUUUUUCUGUUUUGUGGCUUCAACACCUACCUUAUUUGGGAAUGUCAUCUAAAGAGAAAGGACAGCAAGGCGUCUUGGAGACGAGCUGUCUCUUGCCCAGAGAAGCUCAUCCUGACUGUCGCGAUCUGGUGAUCUGUGUCUGAGCCUGGGGAGAGAUAGCGCGGAGCAUUCUUCUAGCCAAGCCUGGGCCUGGGCCAGAGUGUAAGGAAGGCGGGUCGUCCACUGCCUUGAAGUGAAUCCAGCCGGCUGUGCCUGGAUCGGCAGCCACAGCACACUCUCCCGAAGUCAGAUCAUCAGGGUCAGGGCACAGAAUUAGUUAUGUGUCCUCUCCUCCUGCCACCCCCCAGCAAGGGCUCCCAAGGCCUCUGCCUCUGUAGGGUUUCCUUCUGGAAGGUCUUGGGAAUUGACCUCAGGUUGUCAUAGUUAGUAGUAAGCACCUAAACCCACCAAGGCUUCUCACCGUCCCAAGAAUCUGCAUUUUAGCGGCUGUGUCUCUUCUCCACCAACAGUUCUGGUGUGGAUCUGGCUCUGUCACCCCUGACAGACAUUGGCCUCAGCUCCAGCCAGAAUCGGGGUGCUGGAUGGACCUGAACCUGUAUUGCCGUCCUUCUCCAGACAUUUGUCUUGCUGGACACUAAGUGAAGGCCUGUUCCUGAGCUCUCAACGCUCCCUGAAUAGGAACCUGCCGUCUUUAUGGUUGAAGUCUGGAUAAGCACUGUCCUCCAAGACAGAAAGGUCAGACCGCAGCUCCCCCUGCCCCCGCCUUCCAGAACUGUAUCUAACACAGGGCUUGAGAAGAGGGCAGAAGUUUGAGCUUUCCUGAGACCAGCUGCAAGGGUGGCAGGACAGGGUCACCCGGGGAACAACCCGGUACUGGGGACAAAAUGGGCAUUCACGUUCUUUUUUAAACUUUUUGUUUGUUCCUUGUGUCUUUCACAUCAGGCAUCUCGAUUCCAUUUGUUUCCCUGCCCCUUUGUAUUCACUCUGUGCCUUGCAACCUUCCCCCCAAAAUAAAAUAAAAUAAAAUAAAAAAUAAAGAAAACAAGGGGGAAAAAUAUCUCGUCACGGAAGCUGUAGCGCAAUGCAGUGAGCCACACAGUGAACAGUCUCGCCCAUACAUCUUUACUUGUGAGUGUUUAUUGAGAUGGGUCUGCUUAGAGGCCUCUGGCUUCUACUACACUAUCAGUGCUAGGCCCCCACUGGGACUCCUCUUGGAUAUCUUGUUCUUGUUCUGUAUUGUGGAGAUCCUGCACCUCUGGGUCUGCAGAGCUGGCUCCUUCAAUGCUCCAGCAGAUAUAGAUGGGGUGGAUUUGGGGGUGGGCCAACUCACAGCCCUGGUUAUGAGCCUGGGUAGUUGCAGGGUCUGCCAGUCUUCCAGCUGCUCUGUCCUCACCAUCAGGGUGAGUCCUCCGGCAUUGUCCUGGCUUGUUCACUCUUUGGGGCAAUGAGCAAGGGGCAGGUCCAGUUCUCAGAGUCCUCGGAGUCAGUCUCCCAUACCUACGCCUUCAGGACCAGUUGGGCAGGGACCUCUCUUACAGCUGGUAAGAGCAGGGACAGUUCUCCCACCUGCCACAGACAGCCGGGGUAGGGGUGGGCAUCUCUCCCCCACCCACACCAUCAUAUGGCAGAUGACGGCGGGGCCAGAUCUUCCAAGCUCACAACUUUGGGCUGGCUCACCCACACUUCCACCAACAAGGUCGGCUCUCCUGUGCUGUCCUGUGCAAGGCUUCGGGAGGGGGAGAGCAUCUCUCCCCUACCCAUGCCCCAUGCCACCAUUUGGCAGGUGAGGAGUGGGGCCAGAUCUCUCACGCUCAGAUUCUUGGGCUGGCUCACUCCCCCCAAACCUCCACCUCUGCCCAUCAACAAGGUCAGCUCUGCUGUGCUGCCCCGAUGAGGUGCAGGGACUGCUUCCUCAAGUGCUGGAGCUGGCAAAGGGAAGGGUCAGCUCCCUUGCCAGCUGGAGGUGUUAAGGGCUAGAGGGGAGGGCAUCUUUCCCUUGCCCCCAUCCCACACUGCAGACAGGGAGGCAGUACCAGCUAUGUUCCUCACACACUCAGGGCUGGCUCACCUGUACCCCUGUCUACAGGGUCAAAACCUCUGGCCGCCCAGGCAAGGCCCAAGGCCCUGUUCUCUCGAGUGCUGUACCUAAUGAGGGGUUGGGUGAGGUCCCCCAGCUGCUCCAGAUGGUGAGGGAUGAGGGGAGUCAUCUUCCCUCACCACAUGGACCGACACUCCCAUUCUCUUCCCCUCAGCUCACCUCUGCCCUUGCGAGCGGGGUCAGCUCUAUGGUGCUGCCCAAGUAACGUGUAGGACCUUCUCUCCUGAGUGCUUCAGCCAGUGAGGGGCAGGCCCAGUUCUCCCUAGUGUUACACCCUGUGAGGAGCAGGACCAACUCUGUUCAGCCCUCUCCUGGCAGCCUUCUGUGGUAUGUAGCCAUAGACAUCAAUACAGACCAUGGCUACAUCGGGGCCCAUGAACCUAGGCAUGGGCCCUGGCAGUAGCCCAGGCCUAGACAUCACCAUGGCCCUGGGUGGCCAUCACGUCACCCACGUCAGCCCAUCCUGCACCUCUUUACCUCUUCAGAUGCGCAGAUGUCCGCAGGACACGAGCCGUUCUGUCUCUCUCUCUCCAGCACUAUUUGGUCACGGCAACAGUGCCCAUCUGCCCAUGUUUUCUCCUCGGAGCCCUGGGCAGACCACUGCAGGCCUGCCUGUGGGUCUCCUUGUCCCUCUCAAUCAUCGUGGCGCUGGGCAGGACCAUGCUUCCUCCUCGAGCCUGGGGUGGUCCACGCUGGGCCUCGUUCACAUUCUUGAAUGUAUAGUAAACUUAACUCAAAUCCCUUGAUGACCUUCCAGGUGCCUCCGAGCCCCUGUUAAACUCGCCACGUGGUUCAUAGCCACAGCGCCUUCCCCUCACACCACCACCCUGGCCCCGAACUCUCCUUUGAUAUCCCACCCUCUUCUUUUUAACCAAGUAGGUUUACAGAAAAUGGGCCAUGUGUUUCUUUCCCAGAGGUUUGUUAUUUUAAAUGUCAUUGACUAUGGUCUGGUGGGCGUUUUCUGCCCAAUUCCUGUACUGGACAAUUCCUGUACUGGAAGUUGUGGGAACUUGUCCUAGGAACUGGUCCUUUUCCCGGCAUCUGUGUCAACUUGACCAACCUUGUCACGCAGAGGUUUAGGUUAACAAGUCUCUGACUUUCUGUACAGAAGUCUGGGAGAGGGAGCUGCUGACCACUGCAGAUUCAUGGAGCAAGUGACUUGGCAGGCCAUCUAAGGGGUGACAGAGCAUAGGGAGCUGGUGUGGGGAGCGGGAAGCAGGUAGGUGUGAACAGAUACACUCUGACUUUGGACCUCUCUUAGGCAUCUUGCAAGUUUGCUAACUUGGCCCAGCUGGAGAGAGAAAAAAAAUCACUGACUAUCUUUGGCAAUAUCUGUUGACGAGGACACCUGUCUGGACUUAAUCUGUGGGCUCAAGAACUGGGUAGUGUCACACUGGAGCCACCAGUUACAGUCCCCCCCCCCCCGUGUGUGUGAGUGUGUAUGUGUGUGUGAGGAGGGGAGGGAGGGAGAGAAUGUGAAAAUGUUUAACCCUUAGCUCUUUAAAAACUGAAAUAUU